GACGAACGCUGGCGGCGUGCCUAAUACAUGCCAGUAGAACGCACAGUUUAUACCGUAGCUUGCUACACCAUAGACUGUGAGUUGCGAACGGGUGAGUAACGCGUAGGUAACCUGCCUGGUAGCGGGGGAUAACUAUUGGAAACGAUAGCUAAUACCGCAUAAUAUUGAUUAUUGCAUGAUAAUUGAUUGAAAGAUGCUAUUGCAUCACUACCAGAUGGACCUGCGUUGUAUUAGCUAGUAGGUGAGGUAACGGCUCACCUAGGCGACGAUACAUAGCCGACCUGAGAGGGUGAUCGGCCACACUGGGACUGAGACACGGCCCAGACUCCUACGGGAGGCAGCAGUAGGGAAUCUUCGGCAAUGGACGAAAGUCUGACCGAGCAACGCCGCGUGAGUGAAGAAGGUUUUCGGAUCGUAAAGCUCGGUUGUAAGAGAAGAACGGGUGUGAGAGUGGAAAGUUCACACUGUGACGGUAUCUUACCAGAAAGGGACGGCUAACUACGUG
rnacentral:rRNA from 1 species